rnacentral:rRNA from 1 species
AUUGAACGCUGGCGGCAUGCUUUACACAUGCAAGUCGAGCGGCAGCGCGGGGGCAACCCUGGCGGCGAGCGGCGAACGGGUGAGUAAUACAUCGGAACGUACCCAGGAGUGGGGGAUAGCUCGGCGAAAGCCGGAUUAAUACCGCAUACGAUCUACGGAUGAAAGCAGGGGACCGCAAGGCCUUACGCUCGUGGAGCGGCCGAUGUCCGAUUAGCUAGUUGGUGGGGUAAAGCCUACAAGGCGACGAUCGGUAGCUGGUCUGAGAGGAUGAUCAGCCACACUGGGACUGAGACACGGCCCAGACUCCUACGGGAGGCAGCAGU